rnacentral:rRNA from 1 species
AGAGUUUGAUCAUGGCUCAGGAUGAACGCUAGCUACAGGCUUAACACAUGCAAGUCGAGGGGCAGCAUGGACUCAGCUUUGCUGAGUUUGAUGGCGACCGGCGCACGGGUGAGUAACGCGUAUCCAACCUGCCCUUUACUCCGGGAUAGUCUCCUGAAAGGGAGUUUAAUACCGGAUGUGUUUGUUUUCCGCAUGGGAGCGACAAAUAAAGAUUAAUUGGUAAAGGAUGGAGAUGCGUCCAUUAGCUUGUUGGCGGGUAACGGCCACCAAGGCAACGAUGGGUAGGGGUUCUGAGAGGAAGGUCCCCACAUUGGAACUGAGACACGGUCCAAACUCCUACGGGAGGCA